UAUCGAAUUAUUUGGAACUAAAACAUAAGCGGAAGCGUACCUGAAUCCAUAAGUGGAAGCUCCUUGAUCCGGCUUGAAGAUCGUCUCCUUUAUCCGGCUUGAAGAUCGUCUUGAGGUUUGGCUUUCCACUUGAUAUGCAAGACAAAGGUUUUGCUCUCUAGUUUCAAUGAUAGGAAGAAGAGAAUGUGUCUUGCAUUCUUGUGGGAACCAUAACCCCCCUAAUUAUAACAUGUAACCCACAUGUAACCCAAGAGUCACAUAACCUAACCAUACAACAUGAAAGGUCACAUGUAUGUAACC
rnacentral:lncRNA from 1 species